GCCCGAGUGAUGAAAUUGGUAGACGUGCUGGAUUCAAAAUCCAGUGGGGGCAACCCCGUGUCGGUUCGACUCCGACCUCGGGCACCA
rnacentral:tRNA from 1 species